UCAGGGGAUGACCUUUCACCGAGUUCUGCAGAGUUACAGUCUGGUAGUGACUCAGAGGCUGUUUCUCCAGGUGGCAGUGAGAAGAUAAUCUUGAACUGAAGGCAAUUUUACAGUAAAGAUAGAGAAGUCUCUCAAAAACUUAGGUGCUCUGCUCAUUUACAACAGAAAAGAGAUAAUAAUCAGUCACUUGCCUCAAAAGGGAAAAAGAAUGAAUUUCUCAGUCUGGGAUUUUGGGGAAAGCUUUUAUUGAUUCAUGUAGCUUUCAUUUUCCAGUUGAGACAAUUUUGUUUUACCUCCAAGGUUCCUGUCUCCAAGUGCCCUGUGUUUCCAAUGAUAUUUUCUAGUUCCAUUUGGCCUUUGGAAUUUAAGCAUGGAUAUUAACCUGGUGGAUGACAGCAUCAAAGAUAGAGAUUUGGAGAACAAAAUAAGAGAUAUGGUGAAGUCUACUAGAUUUCAGAAAUAGGAGGAAGACAGUUCAGAAGAAACACCAUUGAAGAGUUAGAUGAGCAGAAAAGCAUCAAUAUGAAGAGGAUGAUAAGAGGAGUUGGCUACAGGGAGGGGAUGCUGGUCUGAAAACUCUAGUAAAGAGGGUGAAUGAAGACAAAAAGGACAAAUGCUUUGUUAUGAAGAGUGAUCUCACUUUCCAAAUAUGCAUGGGAUGUGAAUGAUGUCCAGAGUGUGAGUUUUGGGGAAUUCAGCUAAAACUAAAAGUAUGAUUUAAACAGACAGAAAUGAGAAGAUAAAGUUUCAUUAAUUUCAUUUAAGAUAUUAAUAUGGGUUAUGUAAGGGAAUCUUAGUUGAAAGAAACUGGUUGUUCAAAUGUGUGGUUGGAGAAAAAAGAAUAUAAACAAAAUAUAUAGUCUGUAUCUAUAGAACUAUGAAUAUGAGAAUGGGAUGCACAGAAAAUUACAAUCUUGAUUAUGAUCUUAUGACAAAAAUGAAAUAUUUAAUUGUGGAAAAGAUAUAUUAAAUAACAGAAAUAAGACAACAAAGAAGAUAAGUUGCUCAUUGGAGGAUAAAUAGUAGUUGUUGAAUAGUGAAAG
rnacentral:lncRNA from 11 species